GCCUGAUCAGCAUGCCGCGUGUGUGAAGAAGGCCUUAUGGUUGUAAAGCACUUUAAGCGAGGAGGAGGCUACUUUAGUUAAUACCUAGAGAUAGUGGACGUUACUCGCAGAAUAAGCACCGGCUAACUCUGU
rnacentral:rRNA from 1 species